rnacentral:rRNA from 1 species
AAUCAACGCUGGCGGCGUGCCUAAUACAUGCAAGUCGAACGCGAAAGUCCCGCAAGGGAUGAGUAGAGUGGCAAACGGGUGAGUAACACGUGGGUGACCUGCCUUCGAGUGGGGGAUAACGUCCCGAAAGGGACGCUAAUACCGCAUAACAUCCUGCCUUUUAAGAGGUGGAGAUCAAAGCUGGGGAUCGCAAGACCUAGCGCUGGAAGAGGGGCCCGCGUCCGAUUAGCUAGNGGUGAGGUAACGGCUCACCAAGGCAACGAUCGGUAGCCGGCCUGAGAGGGCGGACGGCCACACUGGGACUGAGACACGGCCCAGACUCCUACGGGAGCAGCAGUAGGGAAUUGUUCGCAAUGGGCGCAAGCCUGACGACGCAACGCCGCGUGGAGGAUGAAGAUUU